AUCAUCUGUCCUGUCUCUGUCCCAUCAUCUGUCCUGUCUCUGUCCCAUCUGUGUCUCUGUAUUUCACUCAGAGUUCAACAGAUGAAUGUCUCUGUGGACAAGCACUCAGUUGGUUCAGUGCAGCCUCAGAUCAGGUUGCCCCUGGCAGCUGGCCUUUCUUACUCCAUCCACAUUCUGUUCAUUUAUUCAUUUUUUGACUGAUUUGUUUUCAGUGUUACUUUGGAUACAUUAUUUGAUUCUAGUAAACGUUUAUUGUCUGACAACCUGUAAUCAUGUCUAACUAUUGAAGGUGGAGUUCAUUUUCCAGAUGUGGUUUGGGUUUAGGAUGAAAGGAUAAAAAUAGUUAUAUGAUGCCUUUGGUAAGUUAAUGUACACGAUGUUGAGAAGUACAGAAGAUGGAAAUGCAGUAUCUCAGUUGCUGUGAACUUUGUAAGAACUUUUCCUCUUGAAAAGUUGUUGUUUUUCAAAUUAAUAUUCAUUUUAUUAUAAUAAUUGUUCUUCAGUUUCUGCCACUUUUUGGCUUCUUCUUUUCCAGUUUUACUCAUGACUCAGGUAUCUUGCUCUAAAUCUCUGCUCCUGUCUUACCAAGUUCCCCCAGUCCCAGUUUGGACAGAAAAAGACUGGAGGACAGACAAAUGUGAWCUCUUCUGUCUUUCCCAUCUGCUGUAUUUCUUCCUUUAAAACUGCUGCUUUAUAUUUGUUGUUCAAACGUGUAUCUUGACUUCUCUUUGUGUCGCCCCCUUGAGUUUCUGCCAUUUUCUAACAAUGAGAUUUUGUUUUAUGUGAGUCARCAUCUCAUCUGGAAACUUUUCAAACAAAACAAACAAAAAUAAAGAGGCAAACUGGAGUGUGUUUGCACAAGAGAAAAGUAAAGCUGGACUGCAGUGAGGAGGCAGACAGAAAGAAACUGUAAAAGUAAAGACCUGAGUAAACUGUACUGGAUUGGAAGAAGGGAUGCAUGAUGUUUUCUGAGUGUCUGUCAGCUGAGCAGCAUCGCAGUGAGGAGGUGUGGUGAUGUGAUGGAGGAGGACAGAUAAAAAAGAAGGAAAAAUCCCUUCUUCAUUGCUGAGCUUCUAACUCCACCAUCACUUUCACCACAAGAUAAAGAAGAAAACAACAAAAUCUUCUAAGCAGCUUCCCUCAAAUGUUUUCAGUGUAGAAAUGGAAAAAGACAGAGAAGAACACGAGGUGUGGCUGUUCGUCUCAUCCUGAAUAUUUCCAUCAUUUCAUGCGACAGAAAGAAGAAGACGGAAGAUCAAAUGUUUUGAAAGCUUUUUAAGUAAUAUUUUGAGCAAACAGCAUGCACAUCCCUGGAYGAGCAGCCUUAGACUCUGACAGAUGAAAACCAUGUGACGUGAAGUGGUUUGAUUUCACAGAUCUCCAUUUCUUCCAGUUGGAUCCCACUGUUUUUUUUUUUAUUGUUUCAUUAACUGUAAAAGGUGGUAAUGUGGACGGGCUCCACCAAAGAACCAGUUAGUGUUUCUGCUGAGCUCCAGGGCUGAACUGAAGGCCUGAAGCCUUCCAUACAUAUCAGAAACAGCAAGCCAUACUCCACAGGACUAAUUCAUCUAAAAAUGUUGUUUUUACAGGAGAAGAAAAAAAAUCAUGUGACUUCACRUUCAGCUAAUUUCUAAAAAGAAAACAAAUGUCACCAAGUCCCUUUUACUGAACCACUGAAUUUAACCAAAGACAUCUGGAUGGACAUAUCAUAAAACAAAACUGACAAAAAAAAAGACAUCAAGAACAAAGGGGUUUUCUGCUGACCCCUUUUUGGACAUCCUGCUACAUCCAUUCAUGUCAGUGUUAGAAAUCCAAUAUUCUUAUGCUCGGCAUGAUUUAAACCAAUUAAACCCCCAAAAGACAAUCAAACAUGAAUUACAAAAGAAGUAAUGGGGAAAAUGAUAAUAUUCUCACUAAGCAGCUAAGUUAUCCCUUUUACUUACUGUUGUUAUAAAAAAAAAUAACAUUUCACGCAGGAAACAGCAAAAACGAGGAGAGAAUGGGAGAAGAUUCUGCAGAUUAUUCACAUCUGAGGAAACCUGUUCAAGAAAGCUGGUAUUCAGCAGGAUUAGAAAAACUUUUUCUUUUUUUUUUUCUUUUUUUUUUCAAAACUGUUGGAACGGAAACGGCAAUAACUUUUCAAGGCAUUGUUUACCAGCAUGAAUAUUCUGCAUGACUUCUGCAAGACAUUUUCCUCCCCAAAUAACAGGACAAAAUAAAAAAUAAAAAACUGACCGUGUAUGAAAUGUAAACGUAAAAAGARGAGUUGCAACAUGUUAUAGUAGUCAGAUGAGAAAAUGCAAGAAAGACUUCAAAACGAAUCAGAUGUUUUUCAUUUUGCAUCAAAUUAAAUUUAAAACCCAGGAGUAGUUUCUCACUUUCUUAUAAGGGCUAAAGACAUGUUUAUAAGAAAGYAUUAGUAUUUUUGCAAAACUACUAUCCCUGAUGGUGUUUCCUUGUUUUGGUUUUGACCGUUUCGAUUCAUCAAAAAAAAAAAAAGAUGACGCUGAAAUCUGAACUCCUUUAAACCUUAGUGUUUGUGUUGUGAACGACAUGUCUCUAGAAAAAAAGUCUGACAAUCUCAGAGCACUGGAUGAAGUACAGAUUGGGUCAGGUCUAGGUAAACAUUCAGUAGUUUGUUGUAGUUUGUAGWCACCUUAGACUGUGGCUCAAUAUACUGUAAUGUAGCUAAAGAAAUGCAAGGUUUGCAAGUUUCAAAGCUUUGUAAAACUGGCCAUCAUAACGAAAAACAUAAAAGCUGCAUUUACUUCAUAUACAUGACUAACUAAAUCCAGCAUGAAAAGCUAUGCGGUAUGCUCAAUUCUUCUUUUUGUUUUGACAUUUUAGGAUACUUUUAGGUCAUUUUAAUGAUCAGGAAAAAAACAAAUAGCUUGAGCCACGAAUCCAACAGAAACUGUGGCUUUUCUCAGGAAUAUUCUGUAUUAAAGAUUAAAACAAGAAAAUGUGAAAACAUUUCUGUAUAUAUUUUAAAAAAAAAAGAGAAAAGUUUUCACCAAGAAGCUCAGAUUCUAAACACUUAAUUGAUCAGAAUCUCACCAACUUUACUUGAACCUACAAAGUAGAUAUUUUCGGUCUAAACUCUGUUUCUUUGGCUGCUGCUGUAGAAGAUUAAAACACGGUUCUGAUGUCCAGAACCAGAAUCUUUAUGUCUUCCUAUUAAAAUGCCUAGAAGUACUGUACUGUAGCAGUUUGCAGAACCAAAAAAAAGGUUCAGUCUGUAGCAUUACUUUUGCUUUCUGCAUCAUUUCUUUGCUGUGUUUGCUAAAGGACUUGAACUCACGUUGAACUGUGACCCUGAGGCUAAAAACGACGUAUCUGUAAAUGUUUUUGUACAGAAGCAUGAGCCUAUGCACAGAUUAUGUCAAUAAUGUACUGAAAACAAUUGGUAAUGUGUUUAGUGGGGGAUUAUUAUUCUGUCCAUCCAUACGGCAUGGUUCUGUCCUCCCAGCUUCACGCUGCUGGACCAGCUGACAAGAGGUCUUUCAAACUUUAAUUCUUUACCUGUUGAUGCCAAAAUUACAAACAAUAAUAGCUCAAGAGCAAAAUAAUAAUCAUGACGAUAA